UUUGGAUGUUAAUUUUGUUACUGGAGUAGUACUAGUUAUGGUCUUGAAACUUAAAGAAUUUGGCGGUAUUAUAGUCCUUUUAGAGGAAUCUGUCCUAUUAUCGAUAGUCCACGUUGAACCUUACUGAUUUAUUGUUUGUAUACCGCCGUUAAUCUGAAUAUCUUUUUAGGGUAUUUUCCUGUCUUUGUUAUUUAAUUUUAUUUCAGGUCAAGGUGCAGCUUGUUGUUCAGUAGAGAUGGAUUACAUUUUGUUAUAUUAUUGGUUUAUUAAUUGAAUAUUUAGUACUAAAUUGGAUUUAAUUGUAAUUUUGUGAAGAUUGUCAUUGUGAUUUUGGCUCUAUAAUAUGU
rnacentral:rRNA from 1 species